UACAUGCAGUCGAGCGCGGGAAGCAAGCUGAUCCUCUUCGGAGGUGACGCUUGUGGAACGAGCGGCGGACGGGUGAGUAACACGUGGGCAACCUGCCUGUAAGACUGGGAUAACCCCGGGAAACCGGGGCUAAUACCGGAUAAUACUUUUCAUCACCUGAUGAAAAGUUGAAAGGUGGCUUUUAGCUACCACUUACAGAUGGGCCCGCGGCGCAUUAGCUAGUUGGUGAGGUAACGGCUCACCAAGGCAACGAUGCGUAGCCGACCUGAGAGGGUGAUCGGCCACACUGGGACUGAGACACGGCCCAGACUCCUACGGGAGGCAGCAGUAGGGAAUCUUCCGCAAUGGACGAAAGUCUGACGGAGCAACGCCGCGUGAGUGAUGAAGGUUUUCGGAUCGUAAAGCUCUGUUGUUAGGGAAGAACAAGUGCCGUUCGAAUAGGGCGGCACCUUGACGGUACCUAACCAGAAAGCCCCGGCUAACUACGUGCCAGCAGCCGCGGUAAUACGUAGGGGGCAAGCGUUGUCCGGAAUUAUUGGGCGUAAAGCGCGCGCAGGCGGUCCUUUAAGUCUGAUGUGAAAGCCCACGGCUCAACCGUGGAGGGUCAUUGGAAACUGGAGGACUUGAGUACAGAAGAGGAGAGUGGAAUUCCACGUGUAGCGGUGAAAUGCGUAGAGAUGUGGAGGAACACCAGUGGCGAAGGCGACUCUCUGGUCUGUAACUGACGCUGAGGCGCGAAAGCGUGGGGAGCGAACAGGAUUAGAUACCCUGGUAGUCCACGCCGUAAACGAUGAGUGCUAGGUGUUAGGGGGUUUCCGCCCCUUAGUGCUGAAGUUAACGCAUUAAGCACUCCGCCUGGGGAGUACGGCCGCAAGGCUGAAACUCAAAGA
rnacentral:rRNA from 1 species